rnacentral:rRNA from 1 species
UAUUAUAAAAUUUAUAUUUAUUAAUUAAUUAUUAAUUAUUAAUUUUUAUAUUUUAAAAUUAAAUUAUUUGGCGGUAUUUUUAAGAAUUAGAGGAUUUUGUUUAUUAAUUGAUAAUCCACAUUAUAAAUUUACUUAUUUUUAUAAAUUGUAUACUAUUGUCAUAAAAUAAUCAUAAUAAUGAAUUUUUAAAAAAUUUUUAUAAUGAAAUGUCAAAUCAAAGUGCAUUAAAUAUAUAAGAUUAAAAUGAAAUACAAUAAUUUAAAUUUUGAAUUUAAUAUUUAAAAAUAUUAUUAAAAUUGGAUUUAAUAGUAAAUUUAUAUAUAUAUAUAAAUUUAAUAAAUUUUGAAAUAUGUACAUAUUGCCCGUCGCUUUUAAUAUUAAUUAAAAUAA